CACACCUUGUCAUGGCACUCAGGAUGAGCUGCUCUGUGACUUUCCCCAAUAGUGAGGUGGAUCCCAUCUGGCCCCAUGGAUUUCUGCAGGUUUUAGUGGCAUAACAGGUCACUGACAGUUCCCUCCUGGAUUAUGUGGAUUCUUUCUGCUUCCUGUCUCUGUCUUCCAGAUUCAGGGAUCUGGGUACCUUAAGGACAACCGGUCUUGUGAUUAAAGACUGAGGGUUGUUGGAUAGCGAUGAUCUUUAAGGUCCCUUUCAAACCUUUCUAUGGUUCUAUUGUCUGCCAGCUUCUUGUUGUGACUUUGCAGCUGCCCACCUGGAAAACCAGUAGAAGGUGAUCAUGAUGGAGGGGGUUGAUUGCCCUGCCCUAGGAAACUCCUCCAACCUGGAUGGACAUUCAUACACACCAGAGUCCCACACCUAUUGUAUAAGGGCAUCUGGCGAGCUUGAGACCUGGACAGCUCCAUGUUCCAUGGGAGCUCCAUCUGGGCCACCCUGUCCUUUUUGGUGCAUGAAGAGGAUGUGUCUUUUGGCUGAGUGGAAACCAAGCUUCUUCAGUGAGAAUGAUGACCUCCAGCUUUAUUUCUGCAGUUGGGCCACAAGCCACACUGGAAAUCUCAGCUGAAGCAGGCAGUGAAUCAAGAAUGGCUGUUCUACAGUUCUCAGCUGGAGUGGGGUAUCCAAGGAACCAGAC